rnacentral:lncRNA from 1 species
UUUGUUAAACUUUUAGGAUGUAUUUGAGAGUUAAAUUUUAGAAAAAUAAAUAUAUUUAAUUUUAAAAAAAUUGAAAAACAACAUGAUAAAUGAGUAUUAAUAUUAUGAUGUUCUUUUAAUUUUUUAAAGUAUUAAAUAUAUAACAAAAUAUAAACUUAAUCCUUCAAAAAUUUUCUCUCUAAAAAUCAACUCGCAAAUACACCCUAAGAGACCAAAUCGAUACUUUUGUAUUUUGGAUUUUGAAGUUGUAAUCAUUUGUACAUUUGUUUUUUUGAAUUGGAUGGUGCAAUUGUUGUCAUAUGAAAGUCAUGCAGUGUUAGAAACAAGUUGCAGUAGUAGUUACAAAUUCCAAGUUUGGUUCUUUACUAGUUUAUUUUAAUAUUAUAUU